rnacentral:ncRNA from 1 species
CGACCUCAGGUCAGACGUGGCGACCCGCUGAAUUUAAGCAUAUUAGUCAGCGGAGGAAAAGAAACUAACGAGGAUUCCCUCAGUAACGGCGAGUGAAGAGGGAAGAGCCCAGCGCCGAAUCCCCGCCCGCGGUGGGGCGCGGAGGUGUGGCGUACGGAAGCCCAUCCCCGGCGCCGCUCUCGGGGGCCCAAGUCCUUCUGAUCGAGGCCCAGCCCGCGGACGGUGUGAGGCCGGUAGCGGCCCCCGGCGCGCCGGGCCCGGGCUUCUCGGAGUCGGGUUGCUUGGGAUGCAGCCCAAAGCGGGUGGUAAACUCCAUCUAAGGCUAAAUACCGGCACGAGACCGAUAGCCAACAAGUACCGUAAGGGAAAGUUGAAAAGAACUUUGAAGAGAGAGUCAAGAGGGCGUGAAACCGUUAAGAGUAAACGGGUGGGGUCCGCGCAGUCGGCCCGGAGAUUCACCCGGCGGGCCAAGGUCGGCCGGCGCGGGCGCCGUCGGAUCCCGCCUCCGCCUCCCCUCCGUCCCUCCCUUCGCCGGGCGGGGCGGCCCAGGGGGGCGGGCGGGCCGGGGACCGCCGCCCGGCCGGCGUCCGGCCCCGUCGGGCGCAUUUCCUCCGCGGCGGUGCGCCGCGACCGGCUCCGGGACGGCUGGGAAGGGCUGCCGGCGGCAGGUGGCCCGGCGCCGCGCGAGCGCGCCGGUGUUAUAGCCGCCGGGCCCGGAUCGUCGCCGAAUCCCGGGCCGAGGGAGAGGACCGCCGCCGCGCCCUCCCCCGGAGGGGGCGCGCCCGCUUCCGACCACGGACCGGAAGGGGGGGGUCUCAGCAGGCGGGCGCGCGAGUCGGCGGCCUCGCGGCGAAAGUCUGCCGGCGGCGGCAGAUGGAACGGCCGUGGUUGAGGCCGGCGCGCGCCGGCUGAGGUGGGAUCCGCGGGGCGGGCAGGCCGGAAGGCCCGGGCGCCACACCGACCGCCCGGUCUCGCCCGCCUCGCCGGGGAGGUGUGAGCACUGAGCGCGCGUGCUAGGGACCCGAAAGAUGGUGAACUAAUGCCUGGGCAGGGCGAAGCCAGAGGAAACUCUGGUGGAGCGUCCGUAGCGGGUCCUGACGUGCAAAUCGGGUCGUCCCGACCCGGGUAUAGGGCGAAAGACUAAUCGAACCUCUAGUAGCUGGUUCCCCUCCGAAGUUUCCCUCAGGAUAGCUGGCGCUCGGGGCGGCGGUGCAGUUUUUACCGUAAAGCGAAUGAUUAGAGGUCGUGGGGCCGAAACGGAUCUUCAACCUAGUUCUCCAAAACGUUCAAGUGGGUAAGACGCCCGGCUCGCUGGCGUGGAGCCGGGCCGUGGAAUGCGAGGCGCUCAGUGGGCCACUUUGGUAAAGCAGAACUGGGCGCUGCGGGAUGAACCGAACGCCGGGUUAUAGGCCGCCCGAUGCCGACGCUCAUCAGAGCCCCAGAAAGGUGUGGUUGAUCGUGAGACAGCAUGACGGUGGCCAUGGGAAGUCGGAACCCGCUAAGGAGUGUGUAACAACUCACCUGCCGAAUCAACUAGCCCUGAAAUGGGAUGGCGCUGGAGCGUCGGGCCCAUACCGGGCCGUCGCCGGCGGUGCGGAGCCGCGGGGGCUACGCCCGCGAACGAGUAGGAUGGCCGCUGCGGUGCGCCUGGAAGCCUGGGCCGCGGGCCACCGGGUGGAGCCGCCGCAGGUGCAGAUUCCUUGGUGGUGAAUCAGCAACUUUGUAGGGAAGGGAGAGCUUUGUGAAGAGGAAAGGUCGCGGAGGGGGGAGUGGGGGGGGGGCAAGGCUGUUCCACCAGUGCGGUAACGCAAGCGAUCCCGGAGAAGCCGGCGGGAGCCCCCGGGAGAGUUCUCUUUUCUUUGUGAAGGGCCGGGCGCCCUGGAACGGGUUCGCCCCGAGAGAGGGGCCCGCGCCUUGGAAAGCGUCGCGGUUCCGGCGGCGUCCGGGUGAGCUCUCGCUGGCCCGUGAAAAUCCGGGGAGAGGGUGUAAAUCUCGCGCCGGCCGUACCAUAUCCGCAGGCAGGUCUCCAAGGUGAACAGCCUCUGGCAUGUUGGACCAAUGUAGGUAAGGAAGUCGGCAAGCCGGAUCCGUAACUUCGGGAUAAGGAUUGGCUCUAAGGCUGGUCGGUCGGGCUUGGGGCGCGAAGCGGGGCUGGGCGCGCGCCGCGCUGGACGAGGCGCCGCCCGCCCCGCCCCCUUUCCCGCUCCCGCUCGCCGGGGCGCCGGGGGGGGGGUCAGCGGGCGGCGCGGCGGCCGCGACUCUGGACGCGCGCCGGCCCUUCCCGUGGAUCGCCC